rnacentral:rRNA from 1 species
UAGGGAAUCUUCGGCAAUGGGGGCAACCCUGACCGAGCAACGCCGCGUGAGUGAAGAAGGUUUUCGGAUCGUAAAGCUCUGUUGUAAGAGAAGAACGUGUGUGAGAGUGGAAAGUUCACACAGUGACGGUAACUUACCAGAAAGGGACGGCUAACUACGUGCCAGCAGCCGCGGUAAUACGUAGGUCCCGAGCGUUGUCCGGAUUUAUUGGGCGUAAAGCGAGCGCAGGCGGUUUAAUAAGUCUGAAGUUAAAGGCAGGGGCUUAACCAUUGUUCGCUUUGGAAACUGUUAAACUUGAGUGCAGAGGGGGAGAGUGGAAUUCCAUGUGUGGCGGGGAAAUGCGUAGAUAUAUGGAGGAACACCGGUGGCGAAAGCGGCUCUCUGGUCUGUAACUGACGCUGAGGCUGGAAAGCGUGGGGAGCAAACAGG